CAGUGAGGAAUAUUGAGCAAUGGGCGCAAGCCUGACUCAGCAACGCCGCGUGGAUGAAGAAGGCCUUCGGGUUGUAAAAUCCGUUUUCUGGGGGAAGAUAAUGACGGUACCCCAGGAAUAAGUUCCGGCUAACUACGUGCCAGCAGCCGCGGUAAAACGUAGGGGACGAGCGUUAUCCGGAUUUACUGGGCGUAAAGCGCAUGUAGGUGGCUUGAAAAGUUGGACGUGAAAGCUCCCGGCUUAACUGGGAGAGGUCGUUCAAAACUGGCAAGCUUGAGGUUGGAAGAGGAGAGCGGAAUUCCCGGUGUAGUGGUGGAAUGCGUAGAUAUCGGGAGGAACACCAGUGGCGAAAGCGGCUCUCUGGUUCAAUACUGACACUGAGAUGCGAAAGCGUGGGGAGCGAACGGGAUUAGAUACCCCGGUAGUCCACGCUGUAAACGAUGGAUACUAGGUGUAGGCGGUCAUUAACCCCGUCUGUGCCGAAGCCAACGCGUUAAGUAUCCCGCCUGGGGACUACGGCCGCAAGGUUA
rnacentral:rRNA from 1 species